UUGACCUCAAAUCGGGUGAGACUACCCGC
rnacentral:rRNA from 9 species